rfam:Candidatus Woykebacteria bacterium RBG_16_44_10 RBG_16_scaffold_47262, whole genome shotgun sequence.
GCCAGGGUAGCGAAGCGGUCAAACGCACCUGUCUGUAAAACAGGCGGCUUUAUGCCUUCGGAGGUUCGAACCCUCCCCCUGGCA